rnacentral:rRNA from 1 species
UGGGGAAUAUUGGACAAUGGGCGAAAGCCUGAUCCAGCCAUGCCGCGUGUGUGAAGAAGGUCUUCGGAUUGUAAAGCACUUUAAGUUGGGAGGAAGGGCAUUAACCUAAUACGUUAGUGUUUUGACGUUACCGACAGAAUAAGCACCGGCUAACUCUGUGCCAGCAGCCGCGGUAAUACAGAGGGUGCAAGCGUUAAUCGGAAUUACUGGGCGUAAAGCGCGCGUAGGUGGUUUGUUAAGUUGGAUGUGAAAUCCCCGGGCUCAACCUGGGAACUGCAUUCAAAACUGACUGACUAGAGUAUGGUAGAGGGUGGUGGAAUUUCCUGUGUAGCGGUGAAAUGCGUAGAUAUAGGAAGGAACACCAGUGGCGAAGGCGGCCCCCUGGACAAAGACUGACGCUCAGGUGCGAAAGCGUGGGGAGCAAACA